UCAUCAGGUAAAACUUCCAUGGAAUUUCCAAAGCCUGCCCAUGCAUUCACUUUUAUUUGUUCCUAUGAACAGCUUGUGCCUGUUUGCAGUAGUGUGUUGCCUCCGGGUUAUGACCUGUUGGUUGACAAAAACUGGUGCCAGGUGAGGCUCCUGCCAGGGCAUGACUGCCAGGCUGAAGAGUUCCAAGGAGGUGGCUCAUUUAUUUCCAUGACACUGUGCUCCUUUGUGUGCUCCGCCGAGCAAGUCAUGGCAAGCGGCAUUGAAGCAAGUCUCUGUUUAAAGUGGAAAAGCUCCAAAGCUGAUAAAUUUCCUCUGUCAAAUGGGUCAGAGAAAGGACAUCCCUGCUCUAGGCCAGGCGGGUGUCAUUAGGUAAACGAGGGUUGUUCCUCAGCCUUGGAAGUGGCCCAAGAUGGAGCUGAGCACUUGGAAGCUGUGCUAAAGGGGAUGAUUGGAAAGGGCAGGAUCAGGGUGGAGGAUCUGCAGCACCGCAGGGAGAAGAGCUUGUUGCUGCACUCAGAGCACCAUCCUGUGCUUUGCAAAGCUCUGCAAGGGGCAGCAGCCUUUGCUCUGUCAGGUGUCAGCUUUUCCCCAGGCAACAAAGGCAGUAAAGAAUCUGGACAAGCUGGGGAGAGCCAGGAACUGACCUGAUGCAGGGUCCCACUUAAAAGUUCUGCCUAAGCUGGACCAGAGAUUUUUACUCCAGACCCACUGAGAUGAACAAAGCAGGAACUUGAACGUGGGUGUCCCAAUGUCAAGAGCUUUCCAGAGAAUGAAGCCAGCUUCUACUCAUUGCCAUAAAUGCCAGUUUUGACUGAAAGGUGACUGAAUACUGUUCAUGUGGAAGAGAAACCAGAAAGACAUCAGGACAGCAUGAAGAGAAGGCAUAAAGAAAGUCACAGCUAAAUAAAUACUUUCUCUCUGA